GACGGAGGAUGCAAGUGUUAUCCGGAAUCACUGGGCGUAAAGCGUCUGUAGGUGGUCAAAUAAGUCAACUGUUAAAUCUUGAGGCUCAACCUCAAAAUCGCAGUCGAAACUAUUAGACUAGAGUAUAGUAGGGGUAAAGGGAAUUUCCAGUGGAGCGGUGAAAUGCGUAGAGAUUGGAAAGAACACCGAUGGCGAAGGCACUUUACUGGGCUAUUACUAACACUCAGAGACGAAAGCUAGGGUAGCA
rnacentral:rRNA from 1 species